rnacentral:lncRNA from 1 species
GAGAGAGAGAGAGAGAGAGAGAGAGAGAGAGAGAGAGAGAGAGAGAGAGAGAGAGAGAGAGAGAGAGAGAGAGAGAGAGCAUGGGAAGGGCAGGAACAUAAAGGAAUGAUAAGAGGAGAAAGUCGAGGGAAGGAAGGAAAGCAGAGAACGGUUAAGAAGACGGGUUCUAAUUCGCCCCAGUGAAAUCUGAUUAUUUUGUGCAGAACACGAGUGAGCCAGGGGAGGGAAAGAAGGAGGAGAGAAAGAGGGAGAGGGGAAGAGGAGUAGGAGAGAAGAGAGCAGAGCUGAAGUGGAUGGAUUACUUUGAGUAGGUAAAGGACAAAAUGGGACUACGGUAGAGUGACAGGGCCAUUCAGAAAGCGAGAGAGAGAGAGAGAGAGAGAGUAGAGAGAGAUUGGAGAGAGAGAUAUAGUGAGAGAGAGAGAGAGAGAGAGGGAGCCUCAUUCUUGUUUUCACUGCAGCAAAAGAUCAUUCACUUUUCCAGCAUGGACCCGGUCCCCGCUCGCAGUGCGGCUCUACGACUGUGUGUGCGUGCGCGUGUGUGAGAGAGUGUGUGUGUGUGUGUGUGUGUGUGUGUGUGUGUGUGUAUCCACGUAGUUGUGUAUUAACCCUCCAUGUGUGUUAUUAACUCCCUCCUCUGAAUCUCUCUCUCCAUCCAGACUAAUAUCACUCCAUACUCUCUGUAGUAUACCACUGUUCAAUGAAGGGCACAUAUAGUGGGAUAAUGCCGCGACGAAUUUCUGCGACUCAAAAGUCGUUUGCUUCUUUCUCGCGUCUUCUUUCGUCGACCCCCGUCUCUCGUCUCCUUUUCUCAUCUCCUACUCUCGUCUCUUCAUCUUCUCUCCUUCAUCCCCUCUGAUCUGCAAGAGCAGGAAUAGUGAAAGCCGGUCCUCCUGUAGGCUUUACUAGUGUGCUUCCCUUCAUCCUCUCGUUACAGAUCAGUGCCGACGAAGGAAGGAAGGGAGACUAUUGAGAUGCACCCCUCGUUGUACAAGGGCACUGCAUAGCCUACUACAGUACACACACACGCACACACACACUGACUCUGCAAACACAGCAACAAUAUGAAUAGGGCUCUGCUUACAUACUACAGCAGCAGUGUAUCAGCUAUAUUAAGACUUUGCCGUAAGGAGACCCUGUGCUUGUCUGUGAAGGUGCUGUAUAGCCACACACUCCAACGGCUACGCCAAAGGAGGAAUGUAGCCACAUGAUAAGCUAAUCCAGUGUAAUCAAUGACAUCGCAUCGCCGCAGUAAGGGUUAAUACAGUAUCAUCAGAAUGUACUCAAUCGACUACACGGCACGUUAGCUUUGCACCGAGCACGAGAGAGGGAGAGAAGAACAGAGAGAGAGAGAGAGAGAGAGAGGGGAGAGGGGAGAGAGACAGAGGGGAGGGAGAGGAGAGUGAAGAGGGAUGGGUGAGAAAGAGGGAGAGAGGGGAAGAGUGAGUGCGCGAGAGGGAGGAGCGCAAGAGAGAGGUAGAGAGAACAGGGUGCAUUAACGGUCUGCAGUCUUUUCUCCCCAUUUUGUGCAGCUCAGCAAAUAAUCGUUCUGCCUCUAGCGCUCCUCUCCCCCUCCUCGCGCGCUCUCUCUCUCUCUUUCCCACUCCACUCUCCCCUCUCUCCCAUUGGAUAAGCCUGAAACUUGGUGAGAGCGAGAGAUGGAGGGAUGGAGAGAGAGAGACGGAGGGAGGGGGCGUGAAACACUCAUAUUCAUCUCACUCCUCUCUAAUUGAAGAAAGGGUUUUAGUGAAAUGAAAGGCAGGAGGACGGGAAAAGUGGGGCCAUGCAGGGGGG